CGUAGGGUCCGAGCGUUGUCCGGAAUUAUUGGGCGUAAAGGGCUCGUAGGCGGUUUGUCGCGUCGGGAGUGAAAUCUUACAGCUUAACUGUGAACUUGCUUCCGAUACGGGCAGACUUGAGGCAUUCAGGGGAGAACGGAAUUCCUGGUGUAGCGGUGAAAUGCGCAGAUAUCAGGAGGAACACCGGUGGCGAAGGCGGUUCUCUGGGAAUGUUCUGACGCUGAGGAGCGAAAGUGUGGGGAGCGAACAGGAUUAGAUACCCUGGUAGUCCACACCGUAAACGUUGGGCGCUAGGUGUGGGGCCUAUUCCAUGGGUUCCGUGCCGCAGCUAACGCAUUAAGCGCCCCGCCUGGGGAGUACGGCCGCAAGGCUA
rnacentral:rRNA from 1 species